rnacentral:rRNA from 1 species
GACGAACGCUGGCGGCGUGCCUAAUACAUGCAAGUAGAACGCUGAAGGAGGAGCUUGCUUCUCUGGAUGAGUUGCGAACGGGUGAGUAACGCGUAGGUAACCUGCCUGGUAGCGGGGGAUAACUAUUGGAAACGAUAGCUAAUACCGCAUAAUAGCAGUUAUUGCAUGAUAACUGUUUGAAAGGUGCAAUUGCACCACUACCAGAUGGACCUGCGUUGUAUUAGCUAGUUGGUGGGGUAACGGCUCACCAAGGCGACGAUACAUAGCCGACCUGAGAGGGUGAUCGGCCACACUGGGACUGAGACACGGCCCAGACUCCUACGGGAGGCAGCAGUAGGGAAUCUUCGGCAAUGGACGGAAGUCUGACCGAGCAACGCCGCGUGAGUGAAGAAGGUGUUCGGAUCGUAAAGCUCUGUUGUAAGAGAAGAACGAGUGUGAGAGUGGAAAGUUCACACUGUGACGGUAUCUUACCAGAAAGGGACGGCUAACUACGU